UGGCGGACGGGUGAGUAACGCGUGGGUAACCUGCCUCAUACAGGGGGAUAACAGUUAGAAAUGACUGCUAAUACCGCAUAAGACCACAGCACCGCAUGGUGCAGGGGUAAAAACUCCGGUGGUAUGAGAUGGACCCGCGUCUGAUUAGGUAGUGGUGGGGUAACGGCCUACCAAGCCGACGAUCAGUAGCCGACCUGAGAGGGUGACCGGCCACAUUGGGACUGAGACACGGCCCAA
rnacentral:rRNA from 1 species